GACGAACGCUGGCGGCGUGCCUAAUACAUGCAAGUAGAACGCUGAAGGAGGAGCUUGCUUCUCCGGAUGAGUUGCGAACGGGUGAGUAACGCGUAGGUAACCUGCCUGGUAGCGGGGGAUAACUAUUGGAAACGAUAGCUAAUACCGCAUAACAGUAGAUGUUGCAUGACAUUUGCUUAAAAGGUGCAAUUGCAUCACUACCAGAUGGACCUGCGUUGUAUUAGCUAGUUGGUGAGGUAACGGCUCACCAAGGCGACGAUACAUAGCCGACCUGAGAGGGUGAUCGGCUACACUGGGACUGAGACACGGCCCAGACUCCUACGGGAGGCAGCAGUAGGGAAUCUUCGGCAAUGGACGGAAGUCUGACCGAGCAACGCCGCGUGAGUGAAGAAGGGUUUCGGAUCGUAAAGCUCUGUUGUAAGAGAAGAACGAGUGUGAGAGUGGAAAGUUCACACUGUGACGGUAUCUUACCAGAAAGGGACGGCUAACUACGUG
rnacentral:rRNA from 1 species